GUCGAGAAUAAUUCACAAUGGGGGAAACCCUGAUGGUGCAACGUCGCGUGGAGGAUGAAGGUCUUCGGAUUGUAAACUCCUGUCAUCUGGGAGUAAGACCUGACGGUGAAUAGCCGGCAGGGUUGAUAGUACCAGAAGAGGAAGGGACGGCUAACUUCGUGCCAGCAGCCGCGGUAAUACGAAGGUCCCAAGCGUUGUUCGGAAUCACUGGGCGUAAAGGGAGCGUAGGCGGCGUGGUAAGUCAGAUGUGAAAUCCCGGGGCUCAACCCCGGAACUGCAUCCGAUACUGCCAUGCUUGAGGGUUGGAGAGGUAGCUGGAAUGCUCGGUGUAGCAGUGAAAUGCGUGGAUAUCGAGAGGAACACUCGUGGCGAAGGCGAGCUACUGGACAACAUCUGACGCUGAGGCUCGAAGGCCAGGGGAGCAAAAGGGAUUAGAUACCCGGGUAGUCC
rnacentral:rRNA from 1 species